ensembl:lncRNA
AGAGAAGAGAAGAGAAGAGAAGAGAAGAGAAGAGAAGAGAAGAGAAGAGAAGAGAAGAGAAGAGAAGAGAAGAGAAGAGAAGAGAAGAGAAGAGAAGAGAAGAGAAGAGAAGAGAAGAGGAGAAGAAACCACCAAAACAAGUCAAACCAAACCACUACAACCAACAGCAAAACACACACCAAAACCAACCACACAAAAAUCUUGGCAGAUUUCUGACUUGAUACCUUCGACAUCCUGCCACAGGAAAGAACUGAAGCAGAGAUGUAAUGGGAAGACCUUUACAAGCAAACAACCUGGACCUUUCUUUACACUUUCAAACAGGUUGACACAGGUACAAACUGUAAGCAGAUUUAGAAACUACAGCGUUACUUUAUCAGAGAUCUUCUGCACUUCAGGUCUGAGAACAGGAUGUUAAGAAAGAAUACUCAGCUAUGCAACAGAGCAGAUCCCAUUUUGGGUUACUUGACCAGAAGAAGCAGCUGAAAUGGAAGACUGCAUUUUGCACUCAUUCUCUCAAGGUGUCAUUGUGAGCUUAAAGUGGUUUUAGCUGUGGAUAUUCCAGAUGCCACAAUCAACACUUGAUGGUCACUAUCUUUGUAAUCCAUGUAAUUAAGACAAUGGGCAAAACAGAACUCAUUUAUUUAUAAUAUAGCGCUAUUAUUAGUGUCUGCUUCUAAGAAACCACAUGUGAGGCCCCGUGAUGUGAUUAAUCAGGCAUUCCAGCUGCUUUUGAGUGAUCCCAGCACUGACAACUGAAGCAGGAGGAAUUCUUCUCCAGUGUAGCACAGUUUAUGACAUCCUGUUAUGCAGUCUGAAAUGAACGCCCAUGUCUGAGUGAAAGAAAGCUAAACACUUUGUAUGAGAAUGUACAUAAUCACUAAGAAUUUGGCAAGGACAAAAGCCAAAUCCAGGGCCGUUGAUUUGACAGUCUCAUGUCUCAUCCAACAUCUUCUGUUCUGGUCUUGCUUCUUUCCUAAAUUAUGAAUAUGUUCUUGGCCUGGUAGAAGGUACACAGCACAGAUCUUCUGAGGCACGGAUGAAUUUGGGAAAAAGCAGACCUGCACUAGAUGCUUAGCUGCAGUGUCUGAUUUUACAGAGCAAAAAUAUACUUUCCUCUCUGUCUACUCAGCAGUUUUGAUCAUCAGAAGAUUUUGAAAGCCUUUUUAAUAAUAAAAAAGAAACACAGGUAUACUCAUUCCUGGAGCAAAAAACUACAGAAAAGGUUGUGAAGUAAACCAAGUCUUUCACCUACAGUUAUGUUAAGGCAAUCCGCUUAAAGGGGAAACAACAGAUGACACAGAUUACAUAUUAAGCAGGACCCAAUGAAAUAAAUACACACCACUGGCAUUGUGUCUCACAGGCUUAUGUAUACAUUUGUGCUACGCUGAAGUUGAUUUAUGGAGUAUAUAUGCACAUGUGGCUACAGAGCUGGCCAAAUCACUCAUUGCAGAUAAAUCUGGAAUUUAUUCAAUAGAUCUCAAAUCUACUUUUUUGUUAUUUCAGUGAAAUAAAUUGAUGAUUGAGUGACAUACAAUAAACAAUGUAUUUACAUGACUGAAAGAAACUGUUGAGCCUAUGAUUUAGCUCCCAUGCACACAGAAGCAACAGCAUCAUGCACUAUUGUUCUCUGGAAUUUGAAACUAUUCAUGAUUAACUGUUAAGAUUAUUGAACCACCUUUCCCUAUAUCCGGGUAUUAUGUCUAAAAUGCUAUGGGAUAAUUUUGCUGCAGGCAAAUUACGUUAAUGCAAUCUUGUUCCUGCCGUUCCAAACUCAAACUGGACAGCCCUCCACAAUUCAGUGCAUCCACAGCUUGCUCAAUAGCACCUCUCUGUGAUGUGAGGAAUGCCAAUUCCUGCUCUCUAGCAAUCCAGUUUCACGCCCAGGCUGAUUAAAUAAACUUAGGAGUCUCUGUAGAUGAUUGUACUCAAGAAAGUGCAUUAAAGCUAUAAGAUGCAGAAGAUAACAUGAAGGUGAGAACGCCUGUCUCUUAGAGUAAUGAUGUGAGAUCUUGUUGAAUGGAAAUCUCUCUGAAGAGCCCAGCAUUACCACCAGUCAAAAAAAAAAAAAAAAAAAAAAAAAAAAAAAAGGCUCAAUUUUAUUACUUUUGUUCCCAGCACCUAUUUUCUUAGUAAUUAUAGGAGACUAAAACAAGUAGGAGAGCUCUCACCAUUACCAACUGAAAAAGA